rnacentral:misc_RNA from 1 species
CUAGUCCCUUGACAGCCCCGAAGAAGGGUAUUGUAUGAGGGGGACUUCCUGCCGUGAUCGU